ensembl:snoRNA SNORD17 small nucleolar RNA, C/D box 17
GUGAAGUGAUGAUUCAGUUUAUCCAUUCGCUGAGUGCACUGUACUGACCUUCUUCCAAGCCUUGGUUCCUGUUCUAGGAACUCGGGGCUACGUAGCCUCCAAAUGCCCUGCAGUUUGCGGUGUUCUACCGUGGACAGCUUGUGUGUCGGUAGACUACUGGUUAGAAUGGUUGGUGUCAGUAGGGAUGGGGUCCCUCUGGGUCCCAUCUCACCAAGAUGAGUGGUGGAAAUCUGAUCAC